GACGAACGCUGGCGGCGUGCUUAACACAUGCAAGUCGAACGGAAAGGCCCUGCUUUUGUGGGGUGCUCGAGUGGCGAACGGGUGAGUAACACGUGAGUAACCUGCCCUUGACUUUGGGAUAACUUCAGGAAACUGGGGCUAAUACCGGAUAGGAGCUCCUGCUGCAUGGUGGGGGGUGGAAAGUUUCGGCGGUUGGGGAUGGACUCGCGGCUUAUCGGCUUGUUGGUGGGGUAGUGGCUUACCAAGGCUUUGACGGGUAGCCGGCCUGGGAGGGUGACCGGCCACAUUGGGACUGAGAUACGGCCCAGACUCCUACGGGAGGCAGCAGUGGGGAAUCUUGCACAAUGGGCGGAAGCGUGAUGCAGCAACGCCGCGUGCGGGAUGACGGCCUUCGGGUUGUAAACCGCUUUCGCCUGUGACGAAGCGUGAGUGACGGUAAUGGGUAAAGAAGCACCGGCUAACUACGUG
rnacentral:rRNA from 1 species